AUUGAACGCUGGCGGCAUGCUCUACACAUGCAAGUCGAACGGUAACAGGCCGCAAGGUGCUGACGAGUGGCGCACGGGUGAGUAAUGCAUCGGAACGUGCCCAGUCGUGGGGGAUAACUACUCGAAAGAGUAGCUAAUACCGCAUACGAUCUAUGGAUGAAAGCGGGGGACCGUAAGGCCUCGCGCGAUUGGAGCGGCCGAUGUCAGAUUAGGUAGUUGGUGGGGUAAAGGCUCACCAAGCCAACGAUCUGUAGCUGGUCUGAGAGGACGACCAGCCACACUGGGACUGAGACACGGCCCAGACUCCUACGGGAGGCAGCAGUGGGGAAUUUUGGACAAUGGGCGCAAGCCUGAUCCAGCAAUGCCGCGUGCAGGAAGAAGGCCUUCGGGUUGUAAACUGCUUUUGUACGGAACGAAACGGCUCUGGUUAAUACCCGGGGCUAAUGACGGUACCGUAAGAAUAAGCACCGGCUAACUACGUG
rnacentral:rRNA from 1 species